rnacentral:rRNA from 1 species
UACGGGAGGCAGCAGUGAGGAAUAUUGGUCAAUGGGCGAGAGCCUGAACCAGCCAAGUAGCGUGCAGGAUGACGGCCCUAUGGGUUGUAAACUGCUUUUAUGCGGGGACAAACUGCGCCACGUGUGGCGCAUUGCAGGUACCGCAUGAAUAAGGACCGGCUAAUUCCGUGCCAGCAGCCGCGGUAAUACGGAAGGUCCNGGCGU